rnacentral:rRNA from 1 species
UACGUAGGAGACAAGCGUUGUCCGGAAUUACUGGGCGUAAAGCGCGUGUAGGCGGUAGGCCAAGUCUGCUGUGAAAUCGCCCGGCUCAACUGGGCGCGGUCGGUGGAAACUGGUCAACUGGAGGGCGGUAGAGGCGAGUGGAAUUCCCGGUGUAGUGGUGAAAUGCGUAGAGAUCGGGAGGAACACCAGUGGCGAAGGCGGCUCGCUGGGCCGUUCCUGACGCUGAGACGCGAAGGCGUGGGGAGCGAACGGG